rnacentral:rRNA from 1 species
UGGGGAAUUUUGGACAAUGGGCGAAAGCCUGAUCCAGCCAUGCCGCGUGAGUGAAGAAGGCCUUCGGGUUGUAAAGCUCUUUUAGUCGGAAAGAAAGAGUUGCAAUGAAUAAUUGUGAUUUAUGACGGUACCGACAGAAAAAGCACCGGCUAACUACGUGCCAGCAGCCGCGGUAAUACGUAGGGUGCGAGCGUUAAUCGGAAUUACUGGGCGUAAAGGGUGCGCAGGCGGUCUUGCAAGUCAGAUGUGAAAGCCCCGGGCUUAACCUGGGAAUUGCGUUUGAAACUACAAGGCUAGAGUGCAGCAGAGGGGAGUGGAAUUCCAUGUGUAGCAGUGAAAUGCGUAGAGAUGUGGAAGAACACCGAUGGCGAAGGCAGCUCCCUGUGUUGACACUGACGCUCAUGCACGAAAGCGUGGGGAGCAAACA